rnacentral:rRNA from 1 species
AGUGAACGCUGGCGAUAGGCCUAACACAUGCCAGUCGAACGGCAGCACAGUAAGAGCUUGCUCUUACGGGUGGCGAGUGGCGGACGGGUGAGGAAUACAUCGGAAUCUACUUUUUCGUGGGGGAUAACGUAGGGAAACUUACGCUAAUACCGCAUACGACCUACGGGUGGAAGCAGGGGAUCUUCGGACCUUGCGCGAUUGAAUGAGCCGAUGUCGGAUUAGCUAGUUGGCGGGGUAAAGGCCCACCAAGGCGACGAUCCGUAGCUGGUCUGAGAGGAUGAUCAGCCACACUGGAACUGAGACACGGUCCAGACUCCUACGGGAGGCAGCAGUGGGGAAUAUUGGACAAUGGGCGCAAGCCUGAUCCAGCCAUACCGCGUGGGUGAAGAAGGCCUUCGGGUUGUAAAGCCCUUUUGUUGGGAAAGAAAAGCAGCAGGUUAAUACCCCGCUGUUCUGACGGUACCCAAAGAAUAAGCACCGGCUAACUUCGUG